GCCGUGAGGUGUCAGGGUAAGUCCUAUAACGAGCGCAACCCCUAUUGUUAGUUACCAGCGCGUAGUGGCGGGGACUCUAGCAAGACUGCCGGUGCAAACCGUGAGGAAGGUGGGGAUGACGUCAAAUCAUCACGGCCCUUACGUCCUGGGCUACACACGUGCUACAAUGGCAAGUACAGAAAGCAGCUACCUGGCAACAGGAUGCGAAUCUCCAAAGCUUGUCUCAGUUCGGAUUGGAGUCUGCAACUCGACUCUAUGAAGCUGGAAUCGCUAGUAAUCGGAUAUCAGCCAUGAUCCGGUGAAUACGUUCCCGGGCCUUGUACACACCGCCCGUCAAGCCAUGGAAGCUGGGGGUA
rnacentral:rRNA from 1 species